rnacentral:rRNA from 1 species
AGAGUUUGAUCCUGGCUCAGAUUGAACGCUGGCGGUAUGCUUAACACAUGCAAGUCGAACGGAAACGAUACUAGCUUGCUAGUAGGCGUCGAGUGGCGGACGGGUGAGUAACGCGUAGGAAUCUGCCUGAUAGUGGGGGAUAGCCCGAAGAAAUUCGGAUUAAUACCGCAUAAUCUAUUCGUAGUAAAGUGGGGGACUUUCGAGCCUCACGCUAUCANAUGAGCCUGCGUAAGAUUAGCUUGUUGGUGGGGUAAAAGCCCACCAAGGCGACGAUCUUUAGCUGGUCUGAGAGGAUGAUCAGCCACAUCGGGACUGAGACACGGCCCGAACUCCUACCGGGAGGCAGCAGUGGGGAAUAUUGGACAAUGGGGGCAACCCUGAUCCAGCAAUACCGCGUGUGUGAAGAAGGCCUGAGGGUUGUAAAGCACUUUCAAUUGUGAAGAAAAGUUAGCGGUUAAUAACCGUUAGCCUUGACGUAACUUUAGAAGAAGCA